rnacentral:rRNA from 1 species
UCAACGCGGGAAAUCUUACCGGGUCCGGACACACUGAGGAUUGACAGAUAUAUACCCCGUGAUUUUAUCGCGGGGUUGAAAGAUGCUAGUUCUUUCAUGAUUAUGUGAUAGGUGGUGCAUGGCCGUUCUUAGUUCGUGGAGUGAUCUGUCUGCUUAAUUGCGUAUCAAUAAUAGAGACCUAGUAUACGCGUAGACUCAUGCGGUAGUGACCCCCCUUCACAGGGCGCGUGUCGCACGUAUGUUAUACGCACAGGUCUCCGAUAGCAACGAACGUGACCGUACUCUAUUGUUGCAGCGACAAUACCUUUCAACGGGUAUUACCGCUGCUUAGCAAGAUUCGUCUUGCAUUAAACUAUAGAGACCGCUGUUUCUUCUUUAAACCAGAGGAAGGAUACGGCAAUAACAGGUCUGUGAUGCCCUCAGAUGUUCCGGGCUGCACACGUGCUACAAUGAUCAUUGCACUGUGCAUCUAACCCAAUGUGCGCGGACGCCGCCGUGCGUAUAUACUUUAUUGUGUAUGC